GGAGGGUGCAAGUGUUAUCCGGAUUUAUUGGGUUUAAAGGGUACGUAGGCGGCAGGGUAAGUCAGUGGUGAAAGCCAGCAGCUCAACUGUUGAAUUGCCAUUGAUACUGCUUUGCUUGAGUGCAGUCGAGGUAGGCGGAAUUCUGCAUGUAGCGGUGAAAUGCAUAGAUAUGUGGAGGAACGCCGAUAACGAAGGUAGCUUACUAGGCUGUUACUGACGCUGAGGUACGAAAGCGUGGGGAGCGAACGGGAUUAGAGACCCCGGUAGUCCACGCCCGUAAACGAUGGUCACUCGAUAUAUAUUCUUCGGAGUAUGUGUCUAAGCGAAAGCGUUAAGUGACCCCACCUGGGGAGUACGCUCGCAAGAGUG
rnacentral:rRNA from 1 species